rnacentral:rRNA from 1 species
UACAGAGGGUGCGAGCGUUAAUCGGAAUUACUGGGCGUAAAGCGUGCGCAGACGGUCACGUAAGUCGGGUGUGAAAGCCCCGGGCUCAACCUGGGAAUUGCAUUCGAGACUGCGUGGCUAGGGUGCGGAAGAGGGAAGCGGAAUUUCCGGUGUAGCGGUGAAAUGCGUAGAUAUGCGGAGGAACACCGAUGGCGAAGGCAAUCCCCUGGGCCUGUACUGACGCUCAUGCACGAAAGCGUGGGGAGCAAACAGG